rnacentral:rRNA from 1 species
AUUGAACGCUGGCGGCAGGCCUAACACAUGCAAGUCGAGCGGAUGAAGGGAGCUUGCGCCUGGAUUCAGCGGCGGACGGGUGUGUAAUGCCUAGGAGUCUGCCGGGUAGUGGUGUAUAACGUCCUGAAACGGGCGCUAAUACCGCAUACUUCCUGAGCGUGAAAGUGGGGGAGCUUCGGACCGUACGCUAUCAGAUGAGCCUAGGUCGGAUUAGCUAGUUGGUGGGGUAAAGGCCUUCCAAGGCGACGAUCCGUAACUGGUCUGAGAGGAUGAUUAGUCACACUGGAACUGAGACACGGUCAAGACUCCUAAGGGAGGCAGCAGUGGGGAAUAUUGGACAAUGGGCGAAAGCCUGAUCCAGCCAUGCCGAGUGUGUGAAGAAGGCCUUCGGAUCGUAAAGAACUUUAAGUUGGGAGGAAGGGCAGUAAGUUAAUACCUUGCUGUUUUGACGGUAAUAACAGAAUAAGCACCGGCUAACUUCGUG